rnacentral:lncRNA from 1 species
AACUUCAUUAAGUUCUUGUAAGCCCCAAUUAGGUAAAAGACCAGCUAAUUAGAACAGUCUGUUUUCAACAGACUUAGAACUUUGCAAGGAAGAUGAUUUCAAGACCUUCUGCCUAACUACCCACCUCUUUUCCCUUGAAUCCAAGCCUAAGUAUUUGAAACUAGACAGUAAAUUCAUUCCCAUUUAAGUAAAUCAAACUAGUCCUGCUGUGAUUCACCUUUGUACCAUGAAGACUCUAGGAAGAUAUUUAUUUUGGAAAUAUCCUCUACAGCUAGAGAAAAUCUAGAGCAGGCAGGAACAUGGCUUACAUUCAUUAAGAUUUAAACUGGAUCAAAACUAUUACAAGUGAAAAGGGUUAAGGGGAAAAAAUUCAAAACACUGAUAUGACUUUAGAUACUUCAUUUGACUGAAUUUCCAAACAUUUUUUAAUCUAAUUUCAGCAGCUAACAAUUAUCACUAACUUAAUUAAUAAUAGAAAAUACUGAUACAGACCAUCACAGGUACUUAACAAAUGCUUGGUGAAGAAACAAAAAAAGACCUUCAUCUAUACAUGGCAAUAUGACUGGGGCCUAGACAGCAUGGAAACAUGUUUUAGAAAAAUAUUUAACUAUAAAAGAAAUCAACAUGUGCUAAAGUUGUCCACUACACAAAAAUAUUUCUUUCUUUUUUUUUUGAGACGGAGUUUCGCUCUUGUUACCCAGGCUGGUCACCAUGCCCGGCUAAUUUUGUAUUGUUAGUAGAGAUGGGGUUUCUCCAUGUUGGGCAGGCUGGUCUCGAACUCCCAACCUCAGGGGAUCUGCCCGCCUCGGCCUCCCAAAGUGCUAGGAUUACAGGCAUGAGCCACCGCGCCCAGCAACCAAAAUAUAUAUUUCAAAAAAAAAAGAAGUUGAAGUCUAUGUUGUAUUAUGAUUGUUAUA